GUCUCUAUAGCUCAGUGGUAGAGCAUACGAUUGCAGCGUGCUUCAUAUCGUAGGGUCCGGUGUUCGAACCACCGUGGGGACU